rnacentral:rRNA from 1 species
AGCCAUUAGACGAUAUUUAUGGUUAAACCUGCCCAAUGUUAGGAAUAAUCAAUGGCCGCGGUACCCUGACCGUGCUAAGGUAGCGUAAUCAGUUGGCUUUUAAAUGGAGUCAGGAAUGAAUGGGAAAACCGGGUUUAGCUGUCUCCAAACUAUUUUUUUGAAUUUACUGUUUAAGUGAAAAAGCUUAAUAUUGAUAAAGGGACGAGAAGACCCUUAGAAUUUUUUUUAAAAUGAAUGUUUUUCAUAAUAAUUUUGUUGGGGCGACAGAGAAAUAUUUAAAACUUUCUUUAAAUUUACAAGCCGAUAUUGUUAAGCAAGAAUAAAUUACCUAAGGGAUAACAGCAUAAUUCUACAAUUGAGUUUGUGACCUCGAUGUUGGACUAGGAAACUAACAGGCUAGCCGUUUGUUGUGUGGGUUCUGUUCGAACUUUAAUUCCU